UGGCGGCAUGGCUUUACACCCAAACCAUCUUGGUGCUUCAUGACAGCCAGAUCCCUCACCUCACUGCCCGAGAUGGCAGCCACAUGAGACAGGCCCUGGAAAUAACAGUGCCACUGGAGACCUUGAGGAAGGGGGUCCCUUUGAAAUUUGGUGACCAACAUCCAUCCAUCUCAGCUCUGUCCUGGAGGUCAGCUAAGAUCAUGGGCCACAUUCAGCAUUCUUCAACAAACACUCUGUUGCCUGUGCCCAGAGACCCAGAUGCUGGAACCUGACCGCCCGGAUCUAAUUCUAGUCCCACCACUUACCAGCUGG
rnacentral:lncRNA from 1 species